rnacentral:snoRNA from 1 species
CUUUCGUCUGUGAUGAUUCAAAUAAUGCAUAGUUCAACUGAUAUGCCAACGUUUGGUAGAGUGAAGAAAAAAAUCAUCGAAUUUAGUCUUUCGCUCCUAUCUGAGACAUCUG